rnacentral:rRNA from 1 species
CAAGUCGUGGGGCAGCAGGUUUGUAGCAAUACAGAUGCUGGCGACCGGCAAACGGGUGCGGAACACGUACACAACCUUCCUUUAAGUGGGGAAUAGCCCGGGGAAACCCGGAUUAAUACCCCGUAAUAUUGUGAAAUGGCAUCAUUUUACAAUUAUAGCUCCGGCGCUUAAUGAUGGGUGUGCGGCUGAUUAGGUAGUUGGCGGGGUAAUGGCCCACCAAGCCUGCGAUCAGUAACUGGUGUGAGAGCACGACCAGUCACACGGGCACUGAGACACGGGCCCGACUCCUACGGGAGGCAGCAGUAAGGAAUAUUGGUCAAUGGACGCAAGUCUGAACCAGCCAUGCCGCGUGGAGGAUGAAGGCCCUCUGGGUUGUAAACUUCUUUUAUUUGGGACGAAAAAGGAUCUUUCCAGAUCAACUGACGGUACCAGAUGAAUAAGCACCGGCUAACUCCGUGCCAGCAGCCGCGGUAAUACGGAGGGUGCAAGCGUUAUCCGGAUUCACUGGGUUUAAAGGGUGCGUAGGUGGGUCUGUAAGUCCGUGGUGAAAUCUCCGAGCUUAACUUGGAAACUGCCAUGGAUACUAUAGGUCUUGAAUACUGUGGAGGUCAGCGGAAUAUGUCAUGUAGCGGUGAAAUGCUUAGAUAUGACAUAGAACACCAAUUGCGAAGGCAGCUGGCUACACAAAUAUUGACACUGAUGCACGAAAGCGUGGGGAUCAAACAGGAUUAGAUACCCUGGUAGUCCACGCCCUAAACGAUGGAUACUCGACAUUUGCGAUAAACUGCAAGUGUCUGAGCGAAAGCAUUAAGUAUCCCACCUGGGAAGUACGAUCGCAAGAUUGAAACUCAA